GACGAACGCUGGCGGCGUGCCUAACACAUGCAAGUCGAACGGGACUUAGUGGAAUGCGGCUUCGGCCAAAGGAAACUAAGUUUAGUGGCGAACGGGUGAGUAACGCGUGAGGAACCUGCCUUUCAGUGGGGGACAACAGUUGGAAACGACUGCUAAUACCGCAUAACAUAUUUGGAUCGCAUGAUCUGAAUAUCAAAGCUUUAUGUGCUGAAAGAUGGCCUCGCGUCUGAUUAGAUAGUUGGUGGGGUAACGGCCCACCAAGUCGACGAUCAGUAGCCGGUCUGAGAGGAUGAACGGCCACAUUGGGACUGAGAUACGGCCCAGACUCCUACGGGAGGCAGCAGUGGGGAAUAUUGGGCAAUGGGGGAAACCCUGACCCAGCAACGCCGCGUCGAAGGAAGAAGGCUUUCGGGUUGUAAACUUCUUUUACCAGGGACGAAGAACGUGACGGUACCUGGAGAAAAGCAACGGCUAACUACGUGA
rnacentral:rRNA from 1 species